rnacentral:rRNA from 1 species
AAACCGGUAACCCCAAACGUAGGAGGGAGUAACUGCUCGAAAGAGUAGCUAAUACCGCAUGUGCUCUAAGGAGUAAAGCUUUAUGCGCUUUGGGAACGGCCUGCGUCUGAUUAGCUUGAUGGUGAGGUAAAAGCUCACCAUGGCGACGAUCAGUAGCUGGUCUGAGAGGAUGAUCAGCCAGACUGGGACUGAGACACGGCCCAG